AUAAUCUGACAAUACAUAUAAUAUUGGCCAUAUUGUAUUUACAUUACCACAGUGAGAUGAUUUUAGUCUCAUGAACAACAUUAGCUGAUUGUUAUUUACUAAUGUCAGGUCAGGAAAGAUGCCCUGGUCAGGAUAUAAUUUGCAACUUCCAAAAGAGCAUGCAGACUAUUGUAAUUUUCAACAGCUUGACUGUAAGUGACAGGAGCAAACAUAUUGGCAGAGUGGGGAAAAACCCCUACGUAAGGAAAAGGAUUUUAAUCUUUUAUACAUGAUUGCAUUUGUGCUUAUUAAAGGAGCUGUAGCUCUUGGUCAAGGAGGGUCAGAAACUCUUGGCAGGCGUUAAUGAUCAGCCAAUACACGGUGGGGAUGACAGGAGCUCUGAAAGGAAUCGCAACACCUGCUUACAUGUCAUAUUUUUCAGUUAUUUGAUUAUCCUUUAUUACAUAUACUCUUUUGAGCUAAGUGGUAAGUUUUAAUAGCUAAGUAGUCUUGUUUAUACUUUUAGUAGCUUCACGUGAAUGUGACCUUUAGUCUAGAACUUACAUAUAUAGUUUCAAGUUGUGUACGUGCUGGCCUUCUGUCUAGUGGAAAGGUUACAAGGUCUAGCUGGGGAGCUGAGAGGUGAAACAAAGUGCAAGCAGAGGCUGACACAUACACCCACAUACACACAUCGUAGAAAGACUCAGUUAUAUAGGUAAAAGUUAAUCAUGUUUUGCUUGCGACUGCAAAAUUGUGCGUGCGUAUGUGAUAGUUUGUGCAGAACGUGUGCUGAUGUUCCAGACAGAUAAGCGAGCGUCCGGGGACAACAGGAGGACACCUGGAUGGAGACGAGACAAUCUUCUUUUAAACUAUGUUAAAAGUCAUUGUGGUUUUGAUUUGACGUAUGCUUUACUGGAUCUGCCUGGUAACAGAAGGGGGGCUGGACUAUUUCACCCCUAUAAAGUCUUUGUUCUGACUAUUGUAACUCAGUUCAACACUGAAUCUGUACAGUGUUGGCUCCACGCUGCGUGUAUUCAUUAAAAUGUCGUCUAACUUUACCCGGCCGGAUCAGUGGUCAUUAUUUUGGAGUCCCCCUCAAUUUACGAACCUUAACACUGUCCUCUUACAUGUGACCUUGGCUACAUUUUCAGAUUUCUCCACCCUGAGGCCAGGGGUCAGCUCUGUCUCACACUCAGUACAAACCACCAGCAUCACUCAGUCUGCAAGUGUCACAUUAGUCGCCUGGUAGUGACGGUUGUGCCGAUGCAGUGGAUUUACCACAUGUGAACUUACUGCAGUAUUUUGACACAGAUGUGCAUUCAGAUCUAUCCAACUGAGCCUGUCUUGGAUCAGCACAACCAGCACGAGCAGCCCUCUAACAUCACACCUCAGCCUGUGCAAUAUUCACCUGUUAGUGCUGAGCUGGAGAUAAACUGAGCCUGUCAGCCACAGAGCAGGAUCACUAAACUGUUGUCCUACAGACAACUCUGCAAACACAUCUUUACAUCCUGUCACACAUCAUUUGCACCUUUGGAUGAACUUUAGCAAAGGUCACGUAUUAAAAACAAAAACAGCCGAUUGAAAAGCCUGGCUGAGUGAUAACACAGACAGGUUUCAAUAUGUACACAAGGAUCUCCACACAGAGGUACAUGAAUUCAUAUGGACUGAAAUACACACACAAAAACGAGUUUUACUGCAAUAACAGCUCCAUGAGGUAACUCCCAUUCCCAGCAACACACCCACUGUGUUUAAGGUGGUCUGGAUGAAGAGUUGUCAAUAAGAACAAACAGAUGAAGGUGAACGAAUGCUCAAACAUGUGAGAUAAAGGCUCUGUACUCGUGCUGGUAGAUGUCUGGGUCUGGGCUGAUGUGGUUCUGAUGUACAGGUCAUCCCACAGACAGCCGUGCAGCACCGCGUACCUCAUCACUCCAAUCCUGUUUUUAAUCUACAAGGAAACCAAGAAGGCUCACUGCUCUGUGCAAGAAAAUAUGUUUUUGAAAGGUGUCCUGAUUUCCUCAAACUACCAGUCUUUCACAUCUGGUACAAGCACAUCAGACAUUAUCAGGAAAUAAUGUUUUUUUUCUUCUUUGAAAGCUGUGAUGCUGCUUGGAGACAUAAUUACACAAGUAACGUGUUCAGCAGCAGCAGCUCAGAGCUGGAAGUACAAGUGUGGCAACAUGUGGCCAGAGUGGUGACAGAGUUGAACACUAACCUCUGUUAUGGUGGAUAAAUAAUGCAGCUGCAUUAUUAAGGCUCCUCAUGGCUGUACAAUACAUGCAUCAGCAAAGGACAAUAAUCCCAACUAGGAGUGGAGCCGAACCCGAAUACGGUAUUCGGAAAGGCACAAAUAAUGUGUUUUUUACGAAUACUUAUUUCGAACAAAUACUUUUAAAAAUAUUUGUAUUCAGGAACAAGAAAAACUUUAUAUCAAAAAGCUGAGUUUCCUUAUGAGACUGCAGUGCAUGACCGGAUGAGUGAGUGACACAGGCUGCUGCACACAGCAACAGAGAGGCUGAGCCAUAAAAGACUGAACUGCAUCAAGAUUAUUGUUGAAAAUAUGUUUUUGUACCAUAACUGAGUUCCAGAGGCAGUUUAUAACUUUAGUGAAGAUCGGGAGAUUAUUCCAUUACGCUGCAUUAUUGACGUCUGCAGUCGGGUCUCUCAUGUUCGCUCAGCUCUGUUAGCUCGGUCAUUUAGACAACAGGCUGUUGACAGAGUAACGUUAACGUUCGGUUUAAAAGAUUAACACAAUGAUUGUGUAGUUGUGUCGAAUUGUAUGCACUUGUGGGAGUUACAUGGUACAUUUAAAUUACUCUGUCUUUUGCAGACAGCAAGAUGUAGACUAUAGGUCAGUUAACCUUAGCAUAGCUUCCCGUCACUCAUUAACUUGGCUGAAACUCCCCACAUGGAUUUGGGCACCAAAUAGAAAAGAGUGUUGCUGCUGCUGAGCCACCUCUUGGUCCUCCACCAGCCAAAAAAAAUGUUCUGUGUGGAAGCAUUUUACAGUCAGUGCUGCAGAUGAAACCAAAGUGAUAUGUAAUGUGUGCAAAAGUCAGAUCAGCAGAGGCAGAGAUAUCAAACAUCUGUCAACAUCUGUUAUGCAUAAUCACAUGCACUUAAAGCAUCGUAUUCCUGGUACUGUCUGCCCCCCCCCCCACCAGCACCAAUUCAUCCUCACAGCCAUGUUCUGCCCCUGCAAGUCAGUUUCACUGUCUGUUCAGCGUCCUCCAACAAGGACGGGUGGUGGUGGGUUCAUAAUGUUCACAAUGGUAUUUUAUUAGUUGUUGGUUUAACCAUGGAUGAGGCUUUGUUACAUGUUCAUUGCUGCAUUUAUAGAAAACCAUCAAAUAAUAUUGCAUAUCCAUAAGUAUUAUAAUGGACAUUUACACCUAUUUUGAAUUUUACUUGAAUACAAAUACAAAUACUUUCCCCCCUCAACAAAUACAAACACAGAUACAAAUACCGGCUGCUUUGCACGUCUCUAAUCCCAUCCUAGAGGCUGGUGGCAGCAUUGUAAUCAGUUUCUGUCUAAUACUGAAAACUUUCCCUGUGGAGUCAUUGUAAAUAUGCAAAGAGACCAGAAGGUUAUCUGAAAGUGGCGCAUCUUGGUGCACAAAUAGUAACUAGUAAGCAGCACUUUUGUUGACAUGAAGGUGAGUCAUCUUUUAGCACAUCAUUCAGGCUUUAUUAGCAUCACUGUGACUGUUAUUGUGUUUGUAGGAGGUUUCCUCUGCUGGUCUCAGACAGCAGCAGAAACAUCAGCCUCCCUGUCAGUGGAGAUCAGUUCUUACGUGCUGUUGGCCAAACUCAGCGCCUCCCCGACUGCUGAGGAUCUGGGAUAUGCCUCUGGUAUUAUCAGGUGGCUGACUGGGCAGCAGAACUAUGACGGAGGCUUCUCCUCCACUCAGAACAGCCUUCUGUGCACCAACUACACGUAACAGCCUGUAAAUAACAGCUCAGCUGCAGUCUGUAAGUUUCUACCUGUGAUUUCUCUACUUUGUUCCUCUGAGAUCAUCUCUGUUAAACAUAUUUAACCUGUUUAACCUUUAUUUAACCAGGAAGUGAAGGUUAGAAACUCUUUUGUGAGAGUGUGUUGAAGUGACACAGGCAGUUUGAACUUCAUGUCAACAUGAAUCCAUCCUGUAGGACACAGUGGAGGCUCUUCAGGCUCUCUGCUCCACCCUGGUGUUCAGUCCUGAAGGUUGGAGCACAGGGACAGUUCAGGCUCCAGCAGUCAGCUGACAUUUGAUCAGGGCAACAAACUGCUCCACCAGGAGGAGGCGCUGCAGGACGUGUCAGGAAAAUACAGGCUGGAGGUGAAGCUGCUUCAGUGCAGCUCAGUGACAGCAUCAUGUGACCAGGUCCUGGUUGGUGUCAAACAAAGGCUUUCUUUGUUUCUUUGUACUUAUAAAACGCUAAAGAAGCAUUUUCACAUGUAAUCAAUGUGUUUUCAUAGACAACAUUAGAGCUGACAGUAAGAACUGCACACAGUACAAUUCUGUUUACACUAAAUUAAAAAUCAAUAAAGUCACUUUGUGUCUACAUGAGAAUCAGAGAAACUUUCUUCAUCCCAGAGGGAAACUGAGCUGUCGGAGCAGCAAACACACAACAAACAUCAAACACUGAUAGAAAAUGAGAAACACAGAUAUUGAUGAUAAAUAUUAAGAUAAAUAGAUAAAUAUAGAGAUAUAAAUAUAAAAGUGUCACGGUGUAGAAAAGUGACAGCAGGCUGCACUGAGCUGUGAUUGGUUCUGUUUGUUUCCCAGAUUUGUGCACCUACAACAUCCCAACACCUGCUGAUGUCCCCACUCUCAGUGUGAAAGUCCACACAGAGGUGGAGCCCACAGUUAUCAAAGGACACACCAUCAACCACAGAGAUCAUCCAGGAGCUCCCAGUGGACGACCUGAAGCCAGCCGUGGUCCAGAUCUAUGACGACUACCAACCAGGUCCAAGUCUGACUAAGCUUUACUCCAACAGCACACUGACACACUUCAGAGGAUCCAUCAGACUGAACAGUUCAUACAAGCUGAUGUUUCCAUCAGUGGGACUCAGAGAAAUGACACUUUCAUAAAUCUGGUUUUAGUCACUUUGAGUGUAAACAGGAAACAAACUGCAUCAUUUGUGCUUCUUGCACCAGGAUCCUCCUCGUCUCUCCCACAGCAGGAAGUUCAGCUCUGCUCUCAUGAAGCAGCAGGAAGAGGCUCAGAGUGAGGACUGAGGACAGACUGAUGGCACACACUCAGCCUUUUGCCACUGCAUGCACAGCUGUGAGUCAUGUGACACUCGUGCACUCGUGUUGAUCACACCUCUCAUUGCAGAUAAGUGAACUCUCCCAGGGGCAACGAUCACCCACAGUGGUGUGAAAAAGUCUUUUCACUCAGUCAUUUCUGACUGUUUUUAUCACACAAAUGUUCCUGUUAGACAAAGAUAACACAAGUAAAUAAAUGAUGAUGUCAUUGAUUAAGGCACAAAGGUGAUCCCAACCUACCUGAGCUGUGUGCAAA